CCUACGGGAGGCUGCAGUGAGGAAUAUUGGUCAAUGGGCGCUAGCCUGAACCAGCCAAGUAGCGUGAAGGAUGACUGCCCUAUGGGUUGUAAACUUCUUUUAUAUGGGAAUAAAGUGCAGUAUGUAUACUGCUUUGCAUGUACCUUAUGAAUAAGGAUCGGCUAACUCCGUGCCAGCAGCCGCGGUAAUACGGAGGAUGCGAGCGUUAUCCGGAUUUAUUGGGUUUAAAGGGUGCGUAGGCGGAUCGUUAAGUUAGUGGUAAAAUUUAGGGGCUAAACCCCUUCCCGCCAUUGAAACUGGCGUUCGUGAGUGGAAGAGAGGUAUGCGGAAUGCGUGGUGUAGCGGUGAAAUGCAUAGAGAUCACGCAGAACACCGAUUGCGAAGGCAGCAUGCCGGCUUCCGACUGACGCUGAAGCACGAAAGCGUGGGGAGCGAACAGGAUUAGAUACCCUUGUAGUC
rnacentral:rRNA from 1 species